GAUGAACGCUGGCGGCGUGCCUAAUACAUGCAAGUCGAGCGAACGGACGAGAAGCUUGCUUCUCUGAUGUUAGCGGCGGACGGGUGAGUAACACGUGGAUAACCUACCUAUAAGACUGGGAUAACUUCGGGAAACCGGAGCUAAUACCGGAUAAUAUUUUGAACCGCAUGGUUCAAAAGUGAAAGACGGUCUUGCUGUCACUUAUAGAUGGAUCCGCGCUGCAUUAGCUAGUUGGUAAGGUAACGGCUUACCAAGGCAACGAUGCAUAGCCGACCUGAGAGGGUGAUCGGCCACACUGGAACGUGGACACGGUCCAGACUCCUAAGGGAGGCAGCAGUAGGGAAUCGUCCGCAAUGGGCGAAAGCCUGACGGAGCAACGCCGCGUGAGUGAUGAAGGUCUUCGGAGCGUAAAACCCUGUUAUUAGGGAAGAACAUAUGUGUAAGUAACUGUGCACAUCUUGACGGUACCUAAUCAGAAAGCCACGGCUAACUACGUG
rnacentral:rRNA from 1 species